GGGUUGUGAGGUUAAGCGACUAAGCGUACACGGUGGAUGCCCUGGCAGUCAGAGGCGAUGAAGGGCGUGCUAAUCUGCGAU
rnacentral:rRNA from 5 species